AUUCAAUAAUUCUAUAGUUAUUCCAGUUAUUCAUUACGAAAAUAUAAGUGAUUUUUCGUUGCGUCGGUAUACAUUCCAUCCGGCAAGCGUCACCUUAUCAUGGAGGACACCGAACGCAUGAUGAACAAAACGGAAAAGUGCCAUUUGGAGGUCCAGAAAUAAAAGGAACUAUUUCCAAUACGAUCGCCUUGUAGUUGUUCUAUUUCAACAUGAAGAGGAUGACAAGCGCAACGGCCGGAAUUUUUAUGCAUCAUUAUCCAGCACCACUAUACAAGAUACCUCCAAGAAACAGAACAUCAUGGUCUGCCUUUCCCGACUAUUCAUCCAUCGUACCGUCUAAGGAAUAAUAUAUACCCGAACGCCGUGGAACAAUUUCCCACAUUUAUCGCAGUUAUUAAUCAUGCCCGGUAUCAAUUAAAAAUACCUUGGCGCGGACAAAAAAAUACUCGGAUGCUUACGCUCAUUAAGUACGAUUAUGAUCCAAUAGGCAGCUGGCAAGCUAUUGCAUUUGAAGAACGCCGCUCGAUCCGAGAGAAACCGUUAAAUCUCUACAAAUAUUGUAAAAUUAUUAUGUA